UUAAUAGUAAAAUCUGCUCAAUGAAAUUUAAAUAGCCGCAAUUUGUGCUAAGGUAGCAUAAUCACUUGUCAUUUAAAUGAUGACUAGAACAAAAGACUUAACAUUUUAACUUCUUUAUUUAUAAUAAAUAUCUAAUUUUUCUGAAAUGUAAAAAGACAUUUAUUCAUCAGAAAGACGACAAGACCCUGUUGAACUUAACUUUAGUUAAACUGGGGUAGUUAUCUAAUCAUUAUUUAAUUAAUAAUUUUAUGAAAUUAUCCAAUAUAUUUGAAUAAUUCAGUUACCAUAGGGAUAACAGCGCAAUUGAAUUUUAAAGCUCUUAUUUAAAAAAUAGAUUACGACCUCGAUGUUGAAUUAAUAACCUUUUUAAAGAAAAUUUUAAAAUAGGAAGUCUGUUCGACUUUUUAAAAAUUACAUGAUUUGAGUUCAGACCGGUAUAAGCCAGGUCGGUUUCUAUCUUCUAAAGAUAAUUUUACAGUACGAAAGGACCCAAAAUAAUAUUUCAUAUUAUAUUGGCAGAUUAAUGCAUUAGAAUUAGAAUCUAAUUAAACU
rnacentral:rRNA from 1 species